GACGAACGCUGGCGGCGUGCCUAAUACAUGCAAGUUGAGCGAAGCAUAGGGUUUCAAAUCUUCGGAUGCGAGGCCUAUGACUUAGCGGCGAACGGGUGAGUAACGCGUGGGUAACCUGCCCUCUAGACUGGGAUAACAGUUCGAAAGGGCUGCUAAUUACCGGAUGAGAUUACUGUACCGCCUGGUAUAGUAAUGAAAGUGUAUAGCGCUAGAGGAUGGACCCGCGUCCCAUUAGCUAGUUGGUGAGGUAACGGCUCACCAAGGCGACGAUGGGUAGCCGGCCUGAGAGGGUGACCGGCCACACUGGGACUGAGACACGGCCCAGACUCCUACGGGAGGCAGCAGUAGGGAAUCUUGCGCAAUGGGGGGAACCCUGACGCAGCGACGCCGCGUGAGCGACGAAGGCCUUCGGGUCGUAAAGCUCUGUCCUAUGGGAAGAAAAGGACGGUACCAUAGGAGGAAGCCCCGGCGUAACUACGUG
rnacentral:rRNA from 1 species